rnacentral:lncRNA from 1 species
UACGGGCAUGUGCUAUCACACCCAACCUGAUACAUUGCCUUUAUAAAUUUUUUUUUCUUUAUUCUAAAAACCAGAAAAAACAAAACUGGAUACAUGUGCAGAACAUGCAGACCAAGUGUGUUGGGGACUUGAGAUGCGUACAUGAGUGUGAUGUUUCCUGCUGAAAGCACAGGUGAGACGUGGUCUUGUAACACAGUGGUUAAGAAUGUGACUUUGGAGCCAGCCUGCUAGGGGCUGAAUUCUGACUCAGCCAUUUACUAACUGUGUGACCUUAGUCUGUCUAGUGACUGGUGUUGUCAUAAGAAGAGAGGGACACAGAGGGAAGAUGGCCACAUGAAGAUGGAGGCAGAGAUUGCAGUUAUGCUGCUGCAAACUAAGGAAUGGCUCUGGCCCUCCAAGGAUUGCUGAUAACCACCAGAAACUAGAAGAGACAAGGAAGGAUUCUUCCCUAGAGCCUUCAGAGGGAGCAUGGCCCUACUGACACCUGGAUUUCAAACUUGUAGCUUCCUAAACUGCAAGAGAAUAAAUUUCUGUUGUUUUAA